UAUCAGAGUAAGCUUAACUGGCAAACUGCCGGACUCCAAAUCCGGACUUCUAGGUUCGAAUCCUAGCUUUGAUGU
rnacentral:tRNA from 1 species